GAUUUGGAAACAUUGGAAUUAUUUCAUCCAUUUCAUCAAAUCACGUCUUCUCUUUCCCUUUCUACCCAAACCCUAACCCCCUCAUUUUUCAGCCACCGAUCAAGAAAACACGGCGACUGAACCCGGAAACACGGCGCAAAUCAGACCAAAGCAAACACCGAUCUUGUUUUGCUGUUUAAUCGAAGCCAAAAAUCGCCCUUUUUAUCCUUCGCCCUAAAUUUCCAUCGCUCGUCUCCAAAUCGAUUCGUCCUUCGACUGAAAUAAGGUUCAAAGAGUACAAGAAUCGAUUACGAGGAUGACUUUGACGAUGACAUGCCCAUUGCAUUAGCGUAACGACUAGCUUUAAAGAUGUCCAAAGAUGUGCUAGAUUAUUAUGUGUUGUAGUAUACUACGUGAGAUUAGUUCAUUUGUUAAGUUGUAUUAUAUGAUUAGUGAAAGUACAUUAAUUUCAUAUUUAUAAUAAUUACUCUAUGCUUUGAUUUGAAA